AUUAGGGUCAACUGCACGAUAUUUCCUGUUCUCUGACUUUAUGUUCUUAGGACAUUUAAAGAGUUCAGGCUACCCUAUAACUCUAUUUCACAUUAACGGUUACCUUGGUCAUUUGGGUCCAACGAAAACGUGGAAAUGGCAGAUGUCGUGCCUGAUAGUUGAUCUUACUUUUGGAGUAUACUAUUAAUAUUUU
rnacentral:telomerase_RNA from 1 species